GGGUAUGAGGCUAAUCAGGCUGUGACAUCUGUCACCCCACUGAUCACCAGAGUUGACUUGGCCGAUCUAGCUCGCCAGAUAGGUGUUCCUUUCCUCCCUCAGUGGUCCAUGUGUGUCCCUCCAGAAUCUGCGUGCUUGGUCAAAGAGGACAAGCACCCCUGAUAGAGCAGGAUCAUUCUUCUGUCAAACAUACACAGGUAGCUACAUUCUCCUCAUAGAAACUCCAAACAAGCUUUCAAAAAUAAAUCAAAUUGUUUGUAAAUGACUUU
rnacentral:snRNA from 1 species